rnacentral:rRNA from 1 species
CCUACGGGUGGCAGCAGUGAGGAAUAUUGGUCAAUGGACGAGAGUCUGAACCAGCCAAGUAGCGUGAAGGAUGACUGCCCUAUGGGUUGUAAACUUCUUUUAUAUGGGAAUAAAAUGUUCCACGUGUGGGAUUUUGUAUGUACCAUAUGAAUAAGGAUCGGCUAACUCCGUGCCAGCAGCCGCGGUAAUACGGAGGAUCCGAGCGUUAUCCGGAUUUACUGGGUGUAAAGGGCGUGUAGCCGGGCUGACAAGUCAGAUGUGAAAUCCGGGGGCUCAACCGCAGAACUGCAUUUGAAACUGUUGAUCUUGAGUACUGGAGAGGCAGACGGAAUUCCUAGUGUAGCGGUGAAAUGCAUAGAUAUCACACAGAACACCGAUUGCGAAGGCAUCUCACGAAUCCGCGAUUGACGCUGAUGCACGAAAGCGUGGGUAUCAAACAGGAUUAGAUACCCGAGUAGUC